GCUCAACUGACUCGCCUGUCGUUGACUCGAUGAAAUUGCUGCCCCGCACGAGGGUUUCUUCGGCCGCCGCGCCCCCAUCCCUCCGCCACCGCCCUGCGGUGCCCGCUCGGUCCGCGGUCGCCAAAUAUGGACGAGAUCGACAGGAUCCACCGCAUCUCGUGCGACACCCAGCCGCUGCUGCUCAUCGGCCAUGCGGGGAGCACGGACGAGCUGCUCGUCGACAUCCAUCCCGCAGCACCGCCGAAAACGGUGCCCAGCCUCCUCAACAGCGGGCGCCUCCUACUUGCCACACGAACGGCCGCGUCGCCGAGCUGCAGCGGGUGCCGUCGCGGACGAGACGCCGCAAUGCCGCGUGGUGACGCCGCUUGUGUCGGAGCCUGAAGCGCCCGCUGAGCUGGCACGGUGGUGGCUCCGCUGUAUGUGGGAGAUCGGUUCCGUCCUCAACUUCCUCCACGUGCGUGUCCCUUUUCUACCAUCAUACCCCCAGCGACCAGCAGAUCGGCGUACUGGGUUUGCUUCUUCGCUUAGGCUUCUAGGAAUUUACUGCUAAUCUUUAGUUUUCUUGCAUUAACUAUUUGAGCACAUGGUACAGUAGCAGCAUGGCUGAUGCCUCUAUUUCAUCGCUGGAACAUACUUCAUUCAUUGAUUUACUAGAGUAUAUAUGUAUUUGAUCACAUGCUCUGCUUAGGCAAUACAUGUUGUUCAGCCAGCAUCUCUAGGACUGGUUAUGUUGCAAACAAUUUAAUGCCAGUAUUGAUAUUCCAUUCAAUAAACUAACAGAGAUCCAAACUGCAGGUUGCAGAAGGUGAUGUACCAAUAGUUGCAUCACAUGGCUUAGUCCUGUACAUGAGAAUUGCUUGAUGAUAUAUUCUGAUUCAGUCUUAUCUUCAUAGUUUUUCUAAUUGUUCAAUCUUGUGCAGAUCUGAAAUUGAAUUGAAGGAGCUUGAACCAUCGACUCGCUUACUGAUCUUGAAAGCGAUAUGCGACAUACGUGUCGAGGUUCGUGCUAUCGCCAUCCUAGGGAGGCAAUGAAGUUUUUCAAAGUGCCGAUCUUUUCAGAUGUGCAUUGCGGUAGAGAACUGUUACACCAUUUUGAUGUUAUUGUUAGAAAGCUUAUUUCACUAUGCCGAGAAGCGAUACAGGGGCAUGAAGCAAGCAAGCAGGUGUGCGCAGCGACCUGCUACUGCACUAAUAGCCUUGACAGAGCACCGUGCUCCCGUCGUUGUUGGCUGUCGAAUUUGCAAUGCAAUCCAUCCCUAUGUCGAUGUCUUAACCACUUCGUACUUCUGCACAAUCAGCAGAACAUAGCAGCUGCCGCAAUUUACCCAUUGAUUUCUUGGAGUGAUCCAAACCUAGGAAAGCCUGCUACUUGUGCAAGCAACAGGGUAAGAAGUUUUAGUUUUCUUACUAAUGCACCUCAAUUUGUAAGGUUAGAACAUUUUAUUCACCCAUCCUAUUUUUUCUCUAUACUGAUGAUCAUUUUUUCAUCUCUGUGAUCUUCUUUGCUCCAGUUGUGUUAAUACUUUGUUUGCACGUCAGUGGAAAUUAAAAUUUCUUGCUACCAUGAGAGUUACUCCAUGUCAGUAUGUACAUGCAGAUGUAAGCAAUGGAGAAACUCGUGCAGAUGAUGAUUGAAAUUUUUUUUCAUGAAUUUUCCAACCUAAAUUGGCUACAGAGUUGGGGAAAAGACGAGUCUAGGCUCUUUAUGAACACAUCUUCUUUCCCAGGUGACUAACAGUUGGCACCUCUAUACAUUGCAUCAGGCCAACGCUACAAAGCCCCUGUAUGCCUCUGCCUGCCUGCCUCAAUGGACGUUCCGGUCACAAAAAAGUAGAUAAAAAUACUCAUCAGUUUGUCAGAAUACAUGUUGGUUAUCUUAUGAACAAGUAUAGCUGUCAGCAGAGUACAAGAAAAUAUGUUUCGGUUUUUCCAUGAAGCAAACUUAUACUAUGAUUAUCACAUUUUGAUCUUGGAGUAAUGGUCGACUUUAGUAGAUGUUACUGCAGUAUACACCAGUCCCAUAUUUCUACCUACAAGUUUGAGCUCCAUCAGGAUAAUCAGAUUAGUGUACCACAACCUUGAUGUUUUUAAACAUGCAUAUUUUGUAGUUAUUUUAGUAUUAUGUAGAAUGCAUAUAUUUUUCACAGCAGAAAGAAAUGGAUGUAUAACCUGAUUUUGCAUUAUUAUUUAGUGCCAGUUGACUUUGUAAACCCCAGUUUCUCCAGUAUUGCAACUGUUAAAUCAUCAAAUUAAACUAAUCUUUCCCUUUGAACAGCUUGCUAUUUGUAAUAUUAUGAUUUUCCUUUUCAGAAACCACUUCAACUAGCCAGGACCAUGUCUAUUAGUCCUACAGUACUUUUUGGAAUGAGAUGACACAUUGUAUGCCAAGUAACAAGCAGUUGAAGCAAGAAUAUUUUUGUAAUUUCUUGGAAAGAAUGAGCCCCUGAACCCAGGAUGCAUGGCGAAGGAUCCAAUAUGUCAGGACCAAUAUGGGAAUUGCAGAGCUUCAUAUGCAAUUUAUUUUAGUUGCUUGCCUUCUUCAAGUGUCUAGAUUACAUGAAACAUGUUUCUUCAAGUGUCUACACACUACAGGAAGUAAGUUUCUUACAAAAGUAGUCAAACCUGGAUACCAAUUUAUUGGAACCAUUAUAUUUCUUAUAGAAGUAAUCCAAUAUAUUCUCUCUCUUAUGCCUA